GGGGGUUUGGCUCAGUGGUAGAGCGCUUGCCUAGCAAGCGCAAGGCCCUGGGUUCGAUUCCCAGCUCUG
rnacentral:tRNA from 1 species